rnacentral:tRNA from 1 species
GGCCCCGUAGUGUAGCGGCUCAACACGCCAGCCUGUCACGCUGGAGAUCGUGGGUUCGAAUCCCAUCGGGGUCGCCA